rnacentral:rRNA from 1 species
GACGAACGCUGGCGGCGUGCUUAACACAUGCAAGUCGAACGGAAAGGCCCUGCUUUUGUGGGGUGCUCGAGUGGCGAACGGGUGAGUAACACGUGAGUAACCUGCCCUUGACUUUGGGAUAACUUCAGGAAACUGGGGCUAAUACCGGAUAGGAGCUCCUGCUGCAUGGUGGGGGUUGGAAAGUUUCGACGGUUGGGGAUGGACUCGCGGCUUAUCAGCUUGUUGGUGGGGUAGUGGCUUACCAAGGCUUUGACGGGUAGCCGGCCUGAGAGGGUGACCGGCCACAUUGGGACUGAGAUACGGCCCAGACUCCUACGGGAGGCAGCCGUGGGGAAUAUUGCACAAUGGGCGGAAGCCUGAUGCAGCAACGCCGCGUGCGGGAUGACGGCCUUCGGGUUGUAAACCGCUUUCGCCUGUGACGAAGCGUGAGUGACGGUAAUGGGUAAAGAAGCACCGGCUAACUACGUGCCAGCAGCCGCGGUGAUACGUAGGGUGCGAGCGUUGUCCGGAUUUAUUGGGCGUAAAGGGCUCGUAGGUGGUUGAUCGCGUCGGAAGUGUAAUCUUGGGGCUUAACCCUGAGCGUGCUUUCGAUACGGGUUGACUUGAGGAAGGUAGGGGAGAAUGGAAUUCCUGGUGGAGCGGUGGAAUGCGCAGAUAUCAGGAGGAACACCAGUGGCGAAGGCGGUUCUCUGGGCCUUUCCUGACGCUGAGGAGCGAAAGCGUGGGGAGCGAACAGGCUUAGAUACCCUGGUAGUCCACGCUGUAAACGGUGGGUACUAGGUGUGGGGUCCAUUCCACGGGUUCCGUGCCGUAGCUAACGCUUUAAGUACCCCGCCUGGGGAGUACGGCCGCAAGGCUAAAACUCAAAGGAAUUGACGGGGCCCCGCACAAGCGGCGGAGCAUGCGGAUUAAUUCGAUGCAACGCGUAGAACCUUACCUGGGUUUGACAUGGAUCGGGAGCGCUCAGAGAUGGGUGUGCCUCUUUUGGGGUCGGUUCACAGGUGGUGCAUGGCUGUCGUCAGCUCGUGUCGUGAGAUGUUGGGUUAAGUCCCGCAACGAGCGCAACCCUUGUUCACUGUUGCCAGCACGUUAUGGUGGGGACUCAGUGGAGACCGCCGGGGUCAACUCGGAGGAAGGUGGGGAUGACGUCAAGUCAUCAUGCCCCUUAUGUCCAGGGCUUCACGCAUGCUACAAUGGCUGGUACAGAGAGUGGCGAGCCUGUGAGGGUGAGCGAAUCUCGGAAAGCCGGUCUCAGUUCGGAUUGGGGUCUGCAACUCGACCUCAUGAAGUCGGAGUCGCUAGUAAUCGCAGAUCAGCAACGCUGCGGUGAAUACGUUCCCGGG